GACGAACCGCGCAAACGUUGUUCGGAAUCACUGGGCUUAAAGGGCGCGUAGGCGGGUCACCAAGUCCGGGGUGAAAUCUUUCGGCUCAACCGGAAAAGUGCCUUGGAUACUGGUGGUCUUGAGUGAGGUAGGGGCAUGUGGAACUUCCCGUGGAGCGGUGAAAUGCGUUGAUAUCGGAAGGAACUCCGGUGGCGAAAGCGACGUGCUGGCCCUCUUCUGACGCUGAGGCGCGAAAGCUAGGGGAGCAAACGGG
rnacentral:rRNA from 1 species